rnacentral:misc_RNA from 1 species
GCUUGUUACAACAAUCAUAGUCGUACAUGAAUGAUUAAUAUUUUAUGAAAUUGAUGAAUAUAAGAAUCUUAGUACUCUACAACUGCCUUCUUGGUAACUGUACAGGAAUUCAACACCCAAAAGCUAAAUGAAAAUAUGAAAAACCUUAGGUUGGUAGUGUUGCUUGAUGAGUAAGAUGCUACAAUGAAAAUGGCUUGGUGUACACAUCAAAUGGUUCAUUUGCUGUCAAUUGUGGCUCCUGUCUCAUUCCAAUGCCAGCACUUCCUCCAGUGAUCAGCAUAGUCAAUAGCGAUGUCACAAUGCCAGCUCCUACACCAUUAUCAGAACUGCGAAUGGCAGAUCUCAUUGCAUUUAGAAUACCUCCAUAUGUAGUUCCUUUUCCUUGCUCGAUUGCUUGGAUGAAGGAAAACGUCAUUGCACCAGUUGAAGUGACCUUGGACAAAUUAUCCGUAUCAGCAGAGAUUUGAUCAUCAUCACAACCGCUGAAGGAUAUGACCUCUCCCCCACUUGUUCCUUUCCAUGCUCCUGAUCGAGGACGAUGAUCUUCCCAUACAUAUCGUCCAGUCCUGUCCAUCCUACAAAGAAACGGUAGGUCAAGCAUAGUACCACUGUGACAAGCAUCUAUAAUAGCAUGAAGCUUAGCUCCACGCGGAAGAGGCCUAACAAGUGUUGCAUUAAUUUCAUCAUCAACAAUCAUUCCUUGGGUUUCAAAAUCCAACGGACAAAGUGUUUCAUCGAACCCAUCAACUUCAUCUCCGGUGUAAUUUCUUUGUUGUGAACCAUGACCAGAAUAAUGGAACACCAGAGAAUCCCCUGCUUGACAACCUUGCAUAAGCCAGUACAUCGCCAUUCUUAUGUUAUGUUUUGUCGGUAUUCUGUAUGGAUCCCUCUCUUCUUCAGUAAGCAUGAGAAUAGAGUCUUGAGGAAAGUUGAAUCGAUUGGUGAGCAAAAAUUUCAUACAUUUAGCAUCAUUAAUACAUCCCUUCAGUUCAUUCCUCGUAUUCGUAUACGAAAUACCUACGAUGACCGCCCUCUUUCGUGACGAUGAAUUUUGACCGGAACUAUAAGUAGAUGGAGCAAGAGCAGGAGAAGGAGAAGAAGGGGGAUAGUAGUGGUUAUUGUAAGCGGAAGGGGGUGUUGGCGGAGCAGCGUGAGGAUCAGCAAUUAGUGUGAUGGCUCUGCAGAUGGCGCAGCGAAUGGACUUUGCACCUGGUGGGAGUUGUAAGGGGGUGUGACACUUGGAACAAUUGACAAGCAUCAUCAUGUUUUUUCUUUCUUCUUCUUGUUUCAAUUAAUUUGAUAAAUUGAAAAUGGUGAUGCUU